CCGAGUUUACGACUCCCAAACCCCUGUGAACAUACCACUAUGUUGCCUCGGCGGAUCAGCCCGCUCCCGGUAAAACGGGACGGCCCGCCAGCAGGAUCCACUAAACUCUGUUUUAUAUGUAACUUCUGAGUAACAAACAAAUAAAUCA
rnacentral:misc_RNA from 1 species